rnacentral:lncRNA from 1 species
AGAAUUCUCUAGAGCUCUGGAACCAUCCUCGUCCCAGGACAGACAGCAAGGGCAUAUGCCGCUAACAAGCCUGGUUCCACAGCCCCUCACCAGGGUUCAGAGGGUCUCUGCAGUUUCUUACCUCUACUCUUGCUUCGUCUUCCCCAAGACAGGAACUGAAGAAGUCAAGAUGCUGUCGCUCAUGAAGUGCCAGUGCAGGGCAUUGGGGAGGCUUGUUUGAGAAAUACGUAGCAAAAGGAAGAAUGUGUAUUUGGGACCAGCAAGGAAACCUGGGAGGGUGGGGAUGAUCUUGUCCAGUGUCUAAAAAUUUUGAUAAGCUCAAAUGCGACCCAGGCAAUUCUUGUUCCUGAGGAGAAUUCUGUCCAGUGGGUGGUAUAUGGCAUAGAAAGAGUUCAGGCAGAUGGCCAGAUCGUGGUUCCAGGUAGUAUUUCUUCUGUUUACAAGACAAGGGUUUGUGAAACAGAUGAUAGGCUACAGCAUCUAGUCAUCAAGGAGAGAAAGUGGUUAUUGAGAGCUAGGCAGCAACAUGGUGACCUUGCAUACUUCCAAGGUACAGAACAGAGCUCUAGUCUAAGUAGAGAUCAAGAGGGCUUGUUAGGGAAACUGAGGCAUAAGCCCAGUCGUGAGAACUAGAAUGGUAUAGGGCAAGGAGAAAAGGGUGAUUGAUGCAUCAUAGUGGCUUCAAGCAUACCCAGAGCUCACCCCCGCAUGACAGAUCUCAUGCCAGACUUCAUGAGCUUGUACACUGGGAGCUCUAGUAGGAUUUCUGUUCUGGUUGGAACUGGCUUUAGGGAUAAAUGGGGCCGGGUCUGGGCCUGACCUGGUGGGAGUAGACAUAUCUUGGAGAGGCCAGAAAGAGGCAGAGGAAAGGAGCAACAAUCACAGAAUACCAGGUAGGUACAGCUGUGUAGGAGCAGCAGCAAGCAGGCUGAAGUCCAUCAGGCUAUUACCUAGGAGUCUGUCUUGGGAACCACUGCUGCUUGGACUACCACAGUCCUUAGACACUCUGUUUGAGGCUCCAGGCAGGAAUGCCAAUGGACACAGCACAGGAAUGCACAGGAAGCAGAAGCACUAGGAUUUAACUACCAUGCCCUGCACAGAUUCCUUAAUUCCUUCUUGGUGAUUCAGAGUAGAGUUUCCACUCUACAGAUUCUUGCUAUGUGGGAUUUUGGCUUUCCUGACCCAACAGUGCCUGUAAAGCCAUGGUACAGGAGAUCACUCUGAGGCGGGGGCAGCCACACUGAACUACUUGGGCAAGUUUCUUCACCUAUACGUGCCUCAGAUUCCCUAUCUGUAAAACGCAGCUCUGCCACUCCCUCUUUCCUGACACUCUUACCUACCUGCUACUCCUUAAACCCGGAUACACAGUUCGGACCGACCAACCAAAGCCAACACCUCAUGAAAGGGAAGAAACAGCACAUCACCCAUCAGAGAGGAGCUCACACGACUCUCACAGUCCCAGGACAACUGUUGGAGCUCCUGUUAGGCUUCCUCUUCAUGUGUGAAGAGGAGACCUCAGAGUUUCCUAGAGCAGCCUCUAAACAGACAAUAAAGACCAAUUGCUAAUCUGGAA